GAUGAACGCUGGCGGCGUGCCUAAUACAUGCAAGUCGAGCGAACAGAUAAGGAGCUUGCUCCUUUGACGUUAGCGGCGGACGGGUGAGUAACACGUGGGUAACCUACCUAUAAGACUGGGAUAACUUCGGGAAACCGGAGCUAAUACCGGAUAACAUUUGGAACCGCAUGGUUCUAAAGUGAAAGAUGGUUUUGCUAUCACUUAUAGAUGGACCCGCGCCGUAUUAGCUAGUUGGUAAGGUAACGGCUUACCAAGGCGACGAUACGUAGCCGACCUGAGAGGGUGAUCGGCCAUACUGGAACUGAGGCACGGUCCAGACUCCUACGGGAGGCAGCAGUAGGGAAUCUUCCGCAAUGGGCGAAAGCCUGACGGAGCAACGCCGCGUGAGUGAUGAAGGGUUUCGGCUCGUAAAACUCUGUUAUUAGGGAAGAACAAAUGUGUAAGUAACUGUGCACGUCUUGACGGUACCUAAUCAGAAAGCCACGGCUAACUACGUG
rnacentral:rRNA from 1 species